GAUACCAGCAGUCCAGUUCAAAAGUGUCACCAAACACGAAUCAGCAGCAGCAGUGGCAGGAUCCAGCAGAAACUGCCAGGCCUCCACCUAAACAGCAAGAGACAACGGGAUUGACCAGGACCAACUGGAAUGCCAGGAGUUCUCUGCCGUGCCUCUCUCCACGACAUGAAGAUCAGUGAAGAUGAGAGACCAAUGAAGAGUUGUACAGCUGGCUCUGCAGAGCCUGCCGGGAUCGCCAAGCUGACUUCCUUUCUUCCUGGCCCGAGGAGAAAGGGCUGAAUCCAGAUGCGAGUAUCCUCCAG
rnacentral:lncRNA from 1 species